rnacentral:rRNA from 1 species
CAGCCGCCGCGGUAAUACGUAGGUGGCAAGCGUUGUCCGGAAUUACUGGGCGUAAAGGGCGUGUAGGCGGGAUGGCAAGUCAGAUGUGAAAGCCCGGGGCUUAACUCCGGAACUGCAUCUGAAACUGCUGUUCUUGAGUGCUGGAGAGGAAAGUGGAAUUCCCAGUGUAGCGGUGAAAUGCGUAGAGAUUGGGAGGAACACCAGUGGCGAAGGCGGCUUUCUGGACAGUAACUGACGCUGAGGCGCGAAAGCGUGGGGAGCAAACAGGAUUAGAUACCCUGGUAGUCCACGCCGUAAACGAUGGAUACUAGGUGUAGGAGGUAUCGACCCCUUCUGUGCCGGAGUUAACACAAUAAGUAUCCCGCCUGGGGAGUACGGCCGCAAGGCUGAAACUCAAAGGAAUUGACGGGGGCCCGCACAAGCAGUGGAGUAUGUGGUUUAAUUCGAAGCAACGCGAAGAACCUUACCAGGGCUUGACAUCCCUCUGACCGUCCUAGAGAUAGGACUUCCCUUCGGGGCAGAGGAGACAGGAGGUGCAUGGCC